rnacentral:rRNA from 1 species
GACGAACGCUGGCGGCGUGCCUAAUACAUGCAAGUCGAGCGGACCGGAUUGGGGCUUGCCUUGAUUCGGUCAGCGGCGGACGGGUGAGUAACACGUGGGCAACCUGCCCGCAAGACCGGGAUAACUCCGGGAAACCGGAGCUAAUACCGGAUAACACCGAAGACCGCAUGGUCUUCGGUUGAAAGGCGGCCUUUGGGCUGUCACUUGCGGAUGGGCCCGCGGCGCAUUAGCUAGUUGGUGAGGUAACGGCUCACCAAGGCGACGAUGCGUAGCCGGCCUGAGAGGGUGACCGGCCACACUGGGACUGAGACACGGCCCAGACUCCUACGGGAGGCAGCAGUAGGGAAUCUUCCGCAAUGGGCGAAAGCCUGUCGGAGCGACGCCGCGUGAGCGAAGAAGGCCUUCGGGUCGUAAAGCUCUGUUGUGAGGGACGAAGGAGCGUCGUUCGAAGAGGGCGGCGCGGUGACGGUACCUCACGAGAAAGCCCCGGCUAACUACGUG